AUGAGCAGCUGGUUGCUUGGCCAGCCUGGCACCAGCUGUCCAUCCCUGGGGCCAAGUCCACGGAGCCCGCUGUGUGUGAGAGACGGUUUGGCUCUGGGGGUGGCAGGCGGGCAGCUGCCGAGGAGGACGAGCUGGAAACGUGCACUCGCCGUCCACCAGCAUGGCAGCCUCCUCCCAGUACCGCCAGCUGCUCAGUGACUAUGGGCCGCCCUCGCUGGGCUACACCCAGGGAACUGGGAGCAGUCAGGUGCCCCAGAGCAAGUAUGCAGAGCUGCUGGCCAUCAUUGAGGAGCUGGGGAAAGAGAUCAGACCCACCUACGCGGGGAGCAAGAGCGCCAUGGAGAGACUAAAGCGAGGCAUCAUUCAUGCUCGAGGCCUGGUUCGGGAGUGCCUGGCGGAGACUGAACGCAACGCCAGAUCCUAGCCUUCCGUGAGAGGAGCAGGCUCAGGUCUCUCCUGAUCAGGAAACUUGUUUUCAAAAUGCAUUGAUUUGAAAAAUGCAUGUGAAGUUAUUUUACAGCAAACAUGUCUGCCUCCAAGAUACCAGUGACUCCCUUUAAUCUCCUGUUUGACUACAUUUAUACAUCAUUGAAACUGCUUUUGCUCCUUUCCAUAAGCUCCUCCCCUUCGAGGACUUGGUUCUAAAGCAUCCGACCCCGGUUUUAGGAGUAGCUGGUUCCACUUGCCACACUGUAUAGAUUCUGCUUCCUGGAAAUUCUUUUCUGCGUAAGCAUCUGCAUGACCCUUAGUGCUUUGAAGUCAGUCUUAAAAAUGCACAAGUUAUAAAUACAGAAGAAGGAGCAACCUACCAAACCCGAAAAGCGCCCUGAACAUUUUCAAACUGCCUGUGUGUACAUUUCACUUCCACACGUACUGUAUGUUGAUCAAAACAUCUGGAAGACUGAAAACUGUUUGCAUCUUUGUAUUUAUUACUUGAUGUAAUAAAGCUUAUUUUCAUUAACAAUUUG